AUUGAACGCUGGCGGCAGGCCUAACACAUGCAAGUCGAACGGUAACAGGAAGAAGCUUGCUUCUUUGCUGACGAGUGGCGGACGGGUGAGUAAUGUCUGGGAAACUGCCUGAUGGAGGGGGAUAACUACUGGAAACGGUAGCUAAUACCGCAUAACGUCGCAAGACCAAAGAGGGGGACCUUCGGGCCUCUUGCUAUCGGAUGUGCCCAGAUGGGAUUAGCUAGUAGGUGGGGUAACGGCUCACCUAGGCGACGAUCCCUAGCUGGUCUGAGAGGAUGACCAGCCACACUGGAACUGAGACACGGUCCAGACUCCUACGGGAGGCAGCAGUGGGGAAUAUUGCACAAUGGGCGCAAGCCUGAUGCAGCCAUGCCGCGUGUAUGAAGAAGGCCUUCGGGUUGUAAAGUACUUUCAGCGGGGAGGAAGGGAGUAAAGUUAAUACCUUUGCUCGGGGACGUACCCGCA
rnacentral:rRNA from 1 species